rnacentral:rRNA from 1 species
UUUUUAAACCUCGCCAUUUAGAGGAAGGUGAAGUCGUAACAAGGUUUCCGUAGGUGAACCUGCGGAAGGAUCAUUACCACACCUAAAAAACUUUCCACGUGAACCGUAUCAACCCCAUUAGUUGGGGGUUUGAUUGGCGGUUGCUGCUGGCAUCUUUUUGCUGGCUGGCGACUGCUGAGCGAACCCUAUCUUGGCGAUUGUUCUGACCUUCGGUUGGAGUGAGUAGCUUGCAUUUUAAACCCAUUCUUAAUUACUGAACAUACUGUGGGGACGAAAGUCUCUGCUUUUAACUAGAUAGCAACUUUCAGCAGUGGAUGUCUAGGCUCGCACAUCGAUGAAGAACGCUGCGAACUGCGAUACGUAAUGCGAAUUGCAGGAUUCAGUGAGUCAUCGAAAUUUUGAACGCAUAUUGCACUUCCGGGUUAUCCCUGGAAGUAUGCCUGUAUCAGUGUCCGUACAUCAAACUUGGUUUUCUUCUUUCCGUGUAGUCGGUGGAGGAUAUGCCAGAUGUGAAGUGUCUUGCGGCUGGUUUUCGGAUCGGCUGCGAGUCCUUUUAAAUGUACAGAACUGACUCUCUUUGUUCGAAAAGCGUGGCGUUGCUGGUUGUGGAGGCUGUCAGUAUGGCUAGUCGGCGACCGGUUUGUCUGCUAUGGCAUAAAUGGAGGAGUGUUCGAUUCGCGGUAUGGUUGGCUUCGGCUGAACAGGCGCUUAUUGGACGUUCUUCCUGCUAUGGCGGUAUGAACUGGUGAACCGUAGUUCAUGCAUGACUUGGCUUUUGAAUUGGCUUUGCUGUGCGAAGUAGAGCGACAGUUUCGGCUGUCGAGGGUCGACCCAUUUGGGAAAUUGUGCUGUGCGACUUCGGUUGCGUGGCAUCUCAAUUGGACCUGAUAUCAGGCAAGAUUACCCGCUGAACUUAAGCAUAUUAAUAAGCGGAGGAAAAGAAACUAACAAGGAUUCCCCUAGUAACGGCGAGUGAAGCGGGAUGAGCUCAAGCUUAAAAUCUCCGUACAAGUUUUGUACGGCGAAUUGUAGUCUAUAGAGGCGUGGUCAGCGUGAGCUCUUGGGGUAAGUUCCUUGGAAAAGGACAGCAUGGAGGGUGAUACUCCCGUUCAUCUCCGAGUGGCUCGUGCGUACGACCCGUUUUCUUUGAGUCGCGUUGUUUGAGAAUGCAGCGCAAAGUAGGUGGUAAAUUCCAUCUAAAGCUAAAUAUUGGUGCGAGACCGAUAGCAUACAAGUACCGUGAGGGAAAGAUGAAAAGAACUUUGAAAAGAGAGUUAAAGAGUACCUGAAACUGCUGAAAGGGAACCGAAUCGUUUCCAGUGUCUAUAAUCUGUGGCAUAUUUCAUUGGCGAGUGUGUGCGUGCGUGUGCUGUGGCAGCGGCCUUUUGGCUGCGCUUGGCGCGUGUGGUGUGUGUGCUUGCUGGUGCCCUGUGCUGCGGUGGGACGUCAAUGUCAGUUCGUAUGCUGCGGGAAAUGGCUGCCGAGGAGGUAGGGCUUACGCUUGCGUUUGUCUGUUAUAUCUUGGUGGACGAGUCGUCGUGGUUGGGACUGAGGUGCCUACAACGUGCUUUUGAGUGGGUUUGUGUCUCUGUGUGUGCCGUGUGCGGAUAGCUUGCUAUGCGUGUGUGGUUAUGUGUGGAUUGAUAUGGGCUUUAACUUGUUGCCGUUCGGGACGUUGACGAAAUGGAGCGAUCCGACCCGUCUUGAAACACGGACCAAGGAGUCUAACAUGUGUGCAAGUGUUAGGGUGUGGAAACCCCAGCGCGAAAUGAAAGUAAAGGGCAGCGCAAGCUGUCUGAGGUAGGAAACGUUGCGGGCUUCGGUCUGCGGCGUGGCACUAUCGACCGAUCAUGAACCUUCGUGGUGAAAGAUUUGAGUUUGAGCACAUAUGUUGGUACCCGAAAGAUGGUGAACUAUGCCUGAGUAGGGUGAAGCCAGGGGAAACUCUGGUGGAAGCUCGUAGCGAUUCUGACGUGCAAAUCGAUCGUCAAACUUGGGUAUAGGGGCGAAAGACUAAUCGAACCAUCUAGUAGCUGGUUCCCUCCGAAAUUUCCCUCAGGAUAGCAGCAACUUAUUUACGAUAGUUUUAUGAGGUAAAGCGAAUGAUUAGAGGAUUCGGGGAAGAAACUUCCUCGACCUAUUCUCAAACUUUAAAUCUGUAAGACCUGCAGGUUUCUUAAUUGAACUUGUGGAUGUGAAUAU